rnacentral:rRNA from 1 species
UGGGGAAUUUUGGACAAUGGGGGCAACCCUGAUCCAGCCAUGCCGCGUGAGUGAAGAAGGCCUUCGGGUUGUAAAGCUCUUUCGCAAGGGAAGAAACGAUUUAGACGAAUAAUCUAAGUUAAUGACGGUACCUUGAUAAGAAGCACCGGCUAACUACGUGCCAGCAGCCGCGGUAAUACGUAGGUGGCAAGCGUUGUCCGGAUUUACUGGGCGUAAAGAGCGCGCAGGCGGUCAAUCAAGUCGAGUGUGAAAGCCCCCGGCUCAACUGGGGAGGGUCACUUGAUACUGUUUGACUCGAAGGCGGGAGAGGGAAGUGGAAUUCCCGGUGUAGUGGUGAAAUGCGUAGAUAUCGGGAGGAACACCAGUGGCGAAGGCGACUUCCUGGCCCGUUCUUGACGCUGAGGCGCGAAAGCUAGGGGAGCAAA